GAUGAACGCUGGCGGCGUGCCUAAUACAUGCAAGUCGAACGCUUCACUUCGGUGAAGAGUGGCGAACGGGUGAGUAAUACAUAAGUAACCUGGCAUCUACAGGGGGAUAACUGAUGGAAACGUCAGCUAAGACCGCAUAGGUGUAGAGAUCGCAUGGACUCUAUAUGAAAAGUGCUACGGGACUGGUAGAUGAUGGACUUAUGGCGCAUUAGCUUGUUGGUAGGGUAACGGCCUACCAAGGCGACGAUGCGUAGCCGACCUGAGAGGGUGACCGGCCACACUGGGACUGAGACACGGCCCAGACUCCUACGGGAGGCAGCAGUAGGGAAUUUUCGGCAAUGGGGGAAACCCUGACCGAGCAACGCCGCGUGAAGGAAGAAGUAAUUCGUUAUGUAAACUUCUGUCAUAGAGGAAGAACGGUGGAUAUAGGGAAUGAUAUCCAAGUGACGGUACUCUAUA
rnacentral:rRNA from 1 species